UACAGAGGUCUCAAGCGUUGUUCGGAUUCAUUGGGCGUAAAGGGUGCGUAGGUGGCGCCGUAAGUCAGGUGUGAAAUUUCGGAGCUUAACUCCGAAACUGGCAUUUGAUACUGCGGUGCUUGAGGACUGGAGAGGAGAGCUGGAAGUUACGGUGUAGCAGUGAAAUGCGUAGAGAUCGUAAGGAAGACCAGUGGCGAAGGCGGGUCUCG
rnacentral:rRNA from 1 species